rfam:Coxiella burnetii RSA 493, complete genome.
AAUUGAGUAUAUAAGUUGUGUUUUCAACAAUGGUUUCGGCCUUCAAAAUUCGAGUACCGUUAUAAACAUGGAUACCCACUAGGUUGAUGUUAGGCAUUUUUAAAAAGAAAUUCUUAUUCGAAAAAACGAUUUCUUCAUCCAUGCCGAACUGCGAAGGCUUUCCACCCAUCUUCAAUAAAGCUGAUUUAGACACGUGAGAUGGAUUAAUUCUUA